GGUGGUAUAGCUCAGUGGUGGAGGGCAUGCUUAGCAUGUACAAGGUCCUGGAUUCAGUCCCCAGUACCUCCU
rnacentral:tRNA from 1 species